rnacentral:rRNA from 1 species
GCUUAUGCGUUGUUGGGUAGGGGAGCGUUCUGUAAGCCUGUGAAGGUGGCCUGUGAGGGUUGCUGGAGGUAUCAGAAGUGCGAAUGCUGACAUAAGUAACGAUAAAGCGGGUGAAAAGCCCGCUCGCCGGAAGACCAAGGGUUCCUGUCCAACGUUAAUCGGGGCAGGGUGAGUCGACCCCUAAGGCGAGGCCGAAAGGCGUAGUCGAUGGGAAACGGGUUAAUAUUCCCGUACUUGGUGUUACUGCGAAGGGGGGACGGAGAAGGCUAUGUUGGCCGGGCGACGGUUGUCCCGGUUUAAGCGUGUAGGCUGGUUUUCCAGGCAAAUCCGGAAAAUCAAGGCUGAGGCGUGACGACGAGGCACUACGGUGCUGAAGCAACAAAUGCCCUGCUUCCAGGAAAAGCCUCUAAGCAUCAGGUAACAUCAAAUCGUACCCCAAACCGACACAGGUGGUCAGGUAGAGAAUACCAAGGCGCUUGAGAGAACUCGGGUGAAGGAACUAGGCAAAAUGGUGCCGUAACUUCGGGAGAAGGCACGCUGACACGUAGGUGAAGUGAUUUACUCAUGGAGCUGAAGUCAGUCGAAGAUACCAGCUGGCUGCAACUGUUUAUUAAAAACACAGCACUGUGCAAACACGAAAGUGGACGUAUACGGUGUGACGCCUGCCCGGUGCCGGAAGGUUAAUUGAUGGGGUCAGCGCAAGCGAAGCUCCUGAUCGAAGCCCCGGUAAACGGCGGCCGUAACUAUAACGGUCCUAAGGUAGCGAAAUUCCUUGUCGGGUAAGUUCCGACCUGCACGAAUGGCGUAAUGAUGGCCAGGCUGUCUCCACCCGAGACUCAGUGAAAUUGAACUCGCUGUGAAGAUGCAGUGUACCCGCGGCAAGACGGAAAGACCCCGUGAACCUUUACUAUAGCUUGACACUGAACAUUGAGCCUUGAUGUGUAGGAUAGGUGGGAGGCUUUGAAGUGUGGACGCCAGUCUGCAUGGAGCCGACCUUGAAAUACCACCCUUUAAUGUUUGAUGUUCUAACGUGGACCCGUAAUCCGGGUUGCGGACAGUGUCUGGUGGGUAGUUUGACUGGGGCGGUCUCCUCCUAAAGAGUAACGGAGGAGCACGAAGGUUGGCUAAUCCUGGUCGGACAUCAGGAGGUUAGUGCAAUGGCAUAAGCCAGCUUGACUGCGAGCGUGACGGCGCGAGCAGGUGCGAAAGCAGGUCAUAGUGAUCCGGUGGUUCUGAAUGGAAGGGCCAUCGCUCAACGGAUAAAAGGUACUCCGGGGAUAACAGGCUGAUACCGCCCAAGAGUUCAUAUCGACGGCGGUGUUUGGCACCUCGAUGUCGGCUCAUCACAUCCUGGGGCUGAAGUAGGUCCCAAGGGUAUGGCUGUUCGCCAUUUAAAGUGGUACGCGAGCUGGGUUUAGAACGUCGUGAGACAGUUCGGUCCCUAUCUGCCGUGGGCGCUGGAGAACUGAGGGGGGCUGCUCCUAGUACGAGAGGACCGGAGUGGACGCAUCACUGGUGUUCGGGUUGUCAUGCCAAUGGCACUGCCCGGUAGCUAAAUGCGGAAGAGAUAAGUGCUGAAAGCAUCUAAGCACGAAACUUGCCCCGAGAUGAGUUCUCCCUGAGACUUUAGGUCUCCUGAAGGAACGUUGAAGACGACGACGUUGAUAGGCCGGGUGUGUAAGCGCAGCGAUGCGUUGAGCUAACCGGUACUAAUGAACCGUGAGGCUUAACCUUACAACGCCGAAG